rnacentral:rRNA from 1 species
UACGUAGGGUCCGAGCGUUGUCCGGAAUUACUGGGCGUAAAGAGCUCGUAGGUGGUUUGUCGCGUUGUUCGUGAAAACUCACAGCUCAACUGUGGGCGUGCGGGCGAUACGGGCAGACUAGAGUACUGCAGGGGAGACUGGAAUUCCUGGUGUAGCGGUGGAAUGCGCAGAUAUCAGGAGGAACACCGGUGGCGAAGGCGGAUCUCUGGGCCGAUACUGACGCUGAGGAGCGAAAGCGUGGGGAGCGAACAGG